rnacentral:rRNA from 1 species
AUUGAACGCUGGCGGCAGGCUUAACACAUGCGAGUCGAGCGGGGUGAUGGUGCUUGCACUAUCACUUAGCGGCGGACGGGUGAGUAAUGCUUAGGAAUCUGCCUAUUAGUGGGGGACAACAUCUCGAAAGGGAUGCUAAUACCGCAUACGUCCUACGGGAGAAAGCAGGGGAUCACUUGUGACCUUGCGCUAAUAGAUGAGCCUAAGUCGGAUUAGCUAGUUGGUGGGGUAAAGGCCUACCAAGGCGACGAUCUGUAGCGGGUCUGAGAGGUUGAUACGCCACACUGGGACUGAGACACGGCCCAGACUCCUACGGGAGGCAGCAGUGGGGAAUAUUGGACAAUGGGGGGAACCCUGAUCCAGCCAUGCCGCGUGUGUGAAGAAGGCCUUAUGGUUGUAAAGCACUUUAAGCGAGGAGGAGGCUCUUUUGGUUAAUACCCAAGAUGAGUGGACGUUACUCGCAGAAUAAGCACCGGCUAACUCUGUGCCAGCCGCCGCGGUAA